AGCAUCGGAACGUACCCAGUAGUGGGGGAUAGCCCGGCGAAAGCCGGAUUAAUACCGCAUACGACCUGAGGGUGAAAGCGGGGGACCGCAAGGCCUCGCGCUAUUGGAGCGGCCGAUGUCAGAUUAGGUAGUUGGUGGGGUAAAGGCCUACCAAGCCUGCGAUCUGUAGCUGGUCUGAGAGGGCGACCAGCCACACUGGGACUGAGACACCGGCCCAG
rnacentral:rRNA from 1 species